AUGUGGUCCCUGGAGGGGGCCAAAGAGGUGCUAGGCAAGUUCUGCAUCAUCGACCGGCUCGACAGCCACACCUUUGAGCGCCGAGACACGCGCACGUUCGCCUGCUGGGUGUGGGUGUGGAACCUCACGGACAUCCCCACCCGCCACUGCCUUUCCAGCUUCGAGGAGGGGGCUGGCCGCAUGACGGAGAUGCUGGGCUACUCGCCACCGCUCAGGGCUAACCGCGUCGUCCCGCCACCCCCUGAGGGGGAGCGCGGCUCUCUGCUCUUCCACAUCGACCGCAUCGAGGACUGGACACCUCGCGGG
rnacentral:rRNA from 1 species